UGGAAGGUAAGAGUGAAAUUGCGCUAGGUGUUAUUCUUUUAAGUUGUAAAGUAGAAGUACGCGGUAAAGUCUCCCGGCUGAGUGAGAACAAAAGCGCUUCUGACACGAAAAAGCAUUGCUUCGGCGGUUAGCCUCAACCGUAACACGUAACGUCAACAUUCUCGGACUAAAACAGAGCAGUGAUGGAGUUUCCUGAAGACUUUAAUCAGCUUGAGCUUCUGAGCACACAUGGACAUCUGAUCCCCCGCGGGGCCAGCAGCCUAUGGUCCGGAAACAAGAAUAAGGAAACAGAGGAGGAGGAGGAGGAGGAGGGGGAGCACAGUGAGGAAUGGUAUCUCGAAAAGGAGAGAAGUCUUGAAGACAAACCAGCGGAGCUCAUUCUGUGGGCAGCGGAAAACAAUCGACUUUCAACAGUCCAUAGAUUGUUAACUGCUGAUCCUUUGCUGGUGCACUGCUGCGAUGAGGAUGGUUACACGCCGCUGCACCGCGCAGCAUACAGCGGUCAUGUUGGUGUUGUUUCUGCUUUAAUUGCUGCGGGGUCUAAAAUGAACCCUCGCACCAUUGACGGCUGGACGCCCCUGCACAGUGCCUGCCGUUGGAGCCGCGUCUCUGUGGUGAGUGUCCUCCUUCAGCAUGGAGCCGAACUGAACACCCAGACCAACGGUGGGCUCACACCACUACACCUGGCUGCUUCCCACAGCAGCUCCUCAAAAUCAGAUUCUGCCCAUACCUUAGAGCUGCUCCUCUCUCAGCGUCACCUGAAGCCAGGGCUCCUCAGCAGCAGCAGAGAGACGGCUAGCGAGAUCGGCCGGCGUAGUGGCCCGCAUCAUUUCCUGUUUGAGAUGGUAGAAGACUGUGUCAACGUGGUACCAGUCUCGUGAACAAAAUCACAGGAGUGCACAAAUUCCAGAGUGAGGUCCUGGACCUUAGGCCCACAGCUCUGUUUAUUAGUUGACUAAAUGUUUAAUCUAUAAAAUGUCAUGUUUGGUCAGAGCAACAAUCCAGAACCCAAAAGCUUCACUGCAACCUUGAACUUUUCUAGACAUUACCUGGAGGAGCUUUAUGUGAGAAUGCAAGAGUGCUAAUCACUUAAACCAGACAUCAAACAGACUUAAACCUGCCACCUCCUUAGUACAAGAUCUGAGUAAAUAGAUCUGGUAACUGUUCAGAGAAUUCACAGCAAAUAACAUUUUUGUUAAAGCACAUGAGCACAUGAGUGGAUAUGUUGAUGAUGUUUCUGUGGUGCCUCUUGCAAGAUCUACCCAGGAGCCAGCCCUCACCAAGUCUGAACGGAGUAUUUCCAGUAGGUGUGAACACAUCUCACAAGGACAACUUCCGGUUCUCUGCUGCAUGUGUGAAAACUCACAACUCCUCACAGUGUCUGGACCUGAUUGAGUUCAUAUGUUAAAACAGAGACUGACUGUACAGAAGUUGAUGCUGCAAAGUGUCUGUGCAAAAUCUGCCUAAGUGUCUUUGAUCAUCCUUGGGGAGCAGGCCAGCGAUGACUAUAAAGGAAGGAGAAAGCUUUCCAGGCUCCGUCCAAAGUUUACCUUGCUCAGGAUCACGGGUCCUAGAGCUAGCCAUGGCAUGCAUCAGGUGAGAAGUGCAGAGAUGCCCUGGAGAGGUCCAACAUGAGGUCAGAGCAAAUCUAUACCACACAAACAAACAGAUUCGACCUAUAGGCAAGUCUUCAUGUGUUUGGAUUUACUGACAAAAACAAGGGAAGAAUGUGCUAAAUCUGCAAAGAAACACUCCAAGCAGGUCCUGGUGGGUUUCAAAUCAAGGACCCUUCUCUCUGUGCGAUCAGUCAGU